UCUCGCAGGAUUUCUUUUUUCUUUUUUUAGGGAACUCCAUCCAGCUCCUGAAUGCUUCAGGCCAAGAGGAGAUCCAGAUGCAUAGGCGCGAUUAUAACAUUUCACAGUCGCCUCUGCACCAGGCAACAAACUACCCAUCAGUCUGUCUGAGCCAAAUGCAUGUCUUCUUGGCCCCAAUUAAACUGACCAUCUUUAUUCACAUCAAGAUAAGGAGGAAAAUGGAUGGAAAAUGAUGCGUUUCUAAUUGUAUAGCUGUGUUUUAUGCAUUAAUCAAGAUAUUAUUUCAUUUUGUUUGUUUUUGAAUAAUUUGCUUAGCACUUUAGAGGAAGUUUAUGGGGAGAUAGUUUGAGGAUAAUGUCCUUAUACUUUUUUAAAAUAAUUACAAUAAAAAAAUAAACAGGUAGUAAAUUUAAGUAUUUGAACAACUCAGACUUCCACUGCAGAAAAAUAAAAAGCGUAAAAUGAAACAGAUAACUACCAGCCCUUUCAUGGCACAACGCAUUUAUACUAAUAAUCUGAGGCUGCUGGUGGAGCACAGUGGUGUACAGACCAUGAGGGUGAGAUGAUCACUAAGAGGCCAACAGACCGAGCCCGUGACCUAAUUAUGAUGAAUCAGAGCUGGGAAAAGCUGUCUGGCCAAAAGGCAUUUCUAAGCGUUUUUUGCCUCUCCACAGCAACAGCAUACGGAGCCUCACCAAAACAGCAAACCUGACAGCGGCUCAGGAGGCUCCGUAUCAUUUAUCCAGGCGUGUGAGCAAAAAGUCGGGAAGAUGAGAAUGACACUAUUCCUGUAAAGCACCUGACUGGAUGGAGAUGCUGGGGAAUUUUGGGGCUGAAUUUGCAGCAUCAGAGAGAGCACACCCAUCACUGAAGGACCUCUCUUAAAUCACAGUGGAGGGAAAAGGUGAGCAUGAAGCAUAAACAAAAGGGUGCUUGAAUAAACUAGCUUCCAGCCACAUUAUUCAGACUACGGGCAUUGUACUCGGCUGACAAGCCUCAACAGGACGUGAGCCUCCAGAGCAGCUUCUCUGGGGAGGGUUAGGAGUCGUUUGCUUCACAGGAAUUGUAAUGGAAAAGGAAAAUGUGUGGAUCACCUGGAUUGCUGCUGCUGCAGCAUUUUCAUGUGUUGCAUGACAUGCACUCACAGAGGAUCAUACAGUUUCAUUGCAGCAUAUAUGUUACACAUUGAAUUUAGCAGUGAGUUGUUAUGUUAUAUUUUAAAAUGGUUGUAAAUUUGUCUUUUUUGCACAAUUUUUUAAAGUAAUGAAAUUGUUUUUUUCUUGUGUUCACAGUAAAUUUGUAUUCUUAUAAAACUUUGCAAAGAAUAAAAUCUAAAAGUGUUUUACAAAAAUAAAAGCAUAAAACCAAAAGCCCACACAGACUGAUUAAAACAUCACACACUGACAGAACCCUCUAAAAAUGAAGAUAAAAGUUAGCGUCAUAGACUAAGAUCAACUAAAAGCUUCUCUUAAUAAAAACGUCUUAAUCUGGGUUAUCAAGCAGAAAAGGAAGGGGAUUCCAACGAUGAGCUGUGACAGUUUGUUUUGGGAAUAUUUCAACGAUUUUGGUGUCUAGACCUCAAGGAUCGGGCAAAAGAGUAGGGGAUUAAAAGGGCAUUUUUGU